rnacentral:rRNA from 1 species
AUACGUAGGGAGCAAGCGUUGUCCGGAAUUACUGGGCGUAAAGGGCGCGUAGGUGGAUAUUUAAGUCAGCUGUAAAAGGCAUGAGCUCAACUCAUGUAUGCGGUUGAAACUGGGUAUCUAGAGUGCUGGAGAGGUAGGCGGAAUUCCCGGUGUCGCGGGGAAAUGCGUAGAUAUCGGGAAGAACACCAGUGGCGAAGGCGGCUUACUGGCCAGCAACUGACGCUGAGGCGCGAAAGCCAGGGGAGCGAACGGGAUUAGAUACCCCGGUAGUCCUGGCCGUAAACGAUGAAUGCUAGGUGUGGGUGUCGAGAGGCAUCCGUGCCGGAGUUAACGCGAUAAGCAUUCCGCCUGGGGAGUACGAUCGCAAGAUUGAAACUCAAAUGAAUUGGCGGGG